GUCGCCCGAACGCUGCGUGUUGGUCGCGCCCCGCCGCCUCACGGGGCGCACUGGUGUCUCCUGGCCGCUGAAGAGAAUGUCUGUGGUUCUCCAGCUAUCACCAGGAUGGUUACUGGAUCAUCUUUCUUUCAUUAACAAGAUAAACUAUGAACUUCAUCAGCCUUAUUACAGUAAAAAUGAGCCUAUUUCUUCUGUUCACCUUGAUUCUCUUCGCAUGGAUUCUGUGUCCUCUCUUGGAACCUCUGCUACAUUUAGUGCUUCUACCACUAAGCCAGUGGAUGAUGACGGAGGAAACUUUGAAAUGUUCAUUCAAAGAUAUGUUUUUCGAUCUGAACUGUUUGAUGUCACCAAACCUUAUAUAACUUCUGCUAUUCACAAAGAAUGCGAACAAAGUAAUGAAAAGGAAGAUCUAGUAAAUGAUGUUAAAAAAGAAAUCUCCAUUUCUGUUACUGGGAAGAAACGGAAAAGAUGUGUUGUUUUCAAUCAAGGUGAAUUGGAUGCUAUGGAAUACCAUACAAAGAUCAGGGGGCUAAUUUUGGAUGGAUCCUCACAGUUAAUCCAAGAAGGUUUCAAAAGUGGCUUUCUUCAUCCACUUUCUGAAAAACAGGACAAGUGUAGUGAGCCCAUUAAAUUACCACUUGAUACCUGCAGUUUGUCAGAAUUAUGUGAAAUGGCAAAGCAUUUGCCUUCUCUGAAUGAAUUGGAACUUCAGACAUUACAGUUGACAGAAGAUGAUAUAUCUGUUACAGAGCAGGAUUUAUUUUCACGAGUUGUUGAGAACAACUCUAGCUUUACAAAAAUGAUGACUUUAAUGGGACAGAAAUACCUGCUGCCACCAAAGAGCAGUUUUCUUUUGUCUGACAUUUCUUGUAUGCAGCCGCUUCUGAACUGUAGGAAAACAUAUGAUGUAAUUGUGAUAGAUCCACCAUGGCAGAACAAGUCAGUUAAAAGAAGUAACAGAUACAGUUAUUUAUCACCACUGCAAAUAAAGCAGAUACCUAUCCCUAAACUGGCUGCUCCAAACUGUCUUGUUGUUACUUGGGUGACCAAUAGACAGAAGCACCUACGUUUUGUAAAGGAAGAGCUUUACCCUUCUUGGUCUGUGGAGAUAGUUGCUGAAUGGCACUGGGUAAAAAUCACCAGUUCUGGAGAGUUUGUGUUCCCAUUAGAUUCUCCACACAAAAAGCCUUAUGAAGGUCUUAUACUGGGAAGAGUUCGAGAGAAAGGUGCUUUACUAUUAAGGAAUGCAGAUGUAAAAGAGCUCCGCAUUCCAGAUCACAAGUUAAUUGUCAGUGUGCCCUGUACGCUUCACUCACAUAAGCCACCUCUUGCUGGGACAGUGAAUGACCUCCCUGACUGGCUGGUAUGUAAGGAGGACCCUGGACGUGAAUGGCUUCAUCCCUUCUCUUUGCUUCUUUUGGAUCUACCUGCCUGUGGAGAGGAUGAAGAAUUACCUCCAUUGUUCCAAAUGCCCUACUUCUGUUCACAAGAAUCAUGAGAAGAGUACAUGCCCCAUCACUUUUGGGAAAAAUGGACAUUCCUUGGACAUCAAAGAUGCUGAUGAGAAACUCUUCUUGCAAGCUCGAAGCUUUCUGACCUUGAAGGUAGGCUUGGGUAACCACUUUAUUAUCAUCGUCACCACCAUGGCCAUCAUUGCCCCAUGAAUCAAAAAUUAAGGAAGUGGAAUGGUGAUUCAUAUGCGACAUGUCAUCAGGCCAAAGCGUGUAUCCUCCUAAGUGGAAAUCACUUCUGAUAACAAAGUCACGUCAGUUUAUCCAGAAGGAUCCCUUAGAAGGUGUUGUGGGCGUACGUGAAAAUUACAUUAUAACGUUGGAGAAAAUUUCCUGCCAAAUGAUUCACUGACAGGUGGCAGAUCAGCGCGAGUCUGUCACAUACAUUUUAAUAACAGAUGUGGAAACUGAGGCAAAGAGAAGCAGAGUAAUUUGGCCACAUUUACACAGUGAGCGGCAGAGAGAGGAUUCAGUUUCCAGACUGUGAACUCUUGAGCACUAUGCUUCGUGGCCUCCAGUUUAAAAAAUCAGCCUGGACCCAGCUGCUGUUUCACUAAAACCUGCCAGAGGAGCCAUCCUGGAGCCUCUUCUCUUGAUGCCUUUGUCGCUUUCUCUGAAUUACAUGACUCUGUCACAUACACCGUUCUGCUGUGGACCUGCGGUGUCUGAGGAACUUGAUGGUUUCUACAAAGGAGUGUUUCCUUUUUUUGUUUUUUUCCUUCCCCCUCCCCUUUGUUUUCUAAAAUGAUUGCCAAGCAAGAAUAGCUAUAUUUUAGGAAUAAGGGAGAAUUAAUGAAAAAAUUAUCAUUAACCACAUAGGCCAAAGGGGGCUAACAUAUGAGGGUAUGCAAGGUCCCAGCAUCGCCUAUCAUGACUGGUAAGCAAUUGGUGUGACUGACAGGGGAAGAGAAAACGCUAUGAUAGCAAAUGGAACUUUCCCCAUGGUAAGUUUUCAACUAUAAAAAUAAGAAAAAUUAAGAAAAUGCUAUAUAUGUCACUAAAAUCUGGAUAUAUUUUACUAAAAUUUUGUAUCAUAAAAUAAUUGCAGCCUAAGUAAAAUGUAUGCACGAUUCUUCAUUCAUUCAGUUACCAAAUGCCUAAGAAUGCCUGGUAUGUGUUAGAAAUUGUCUUUGACAUGGAGUGUUAACAGCCUCUGACCUUACAGAGCUUAGAGCAGAGCUGUAUUUGAGACUGUAUGUUGAUUUCCAUGCCUUUGCCAGUAUUUAGGUUUCCACAGUUGUAUGUCUAAAGACACCUGGAGUCUAAGAUUUAAAGGGAACAUUGACCUACGUCCAAUUUCCCUAUGUAACUUUUUUCAAUAAUAUCUUUGUAAUCCCCCUCCACAUUAAGAGGGGUUUUUCUUUGUAUUGUUCAUUAGAGUGUUUCUUCUGGAUCUAAGAAAUUAGAAAAAAGGAAUCUGCAGAAAAGAAGGAAUAAGAAAAACCCAGUCAUCUUUACUCUGGACUUCAUAUCAAGGUGAUGAGAAGAGAACACAUCUUCCAAACUGUGUAGCCAAGUCGUGUGGACGGCUGACGCGGGCGCGCUAGGCGACGCUGCCUUUCUGUGUAGAACUGUGAAAGAAGUCAGAAAAUAAGAUCAUAGCAAAGAAGAAAUUGUCUCAGCCCAGGACUAGCAUAACAGACACGAGUGUGCUCUAGGAGAAGUGAUCGGCUGUAAUCCAUCUGGAAGGGCGAGGGCGUUAUGGAAAGGCCUUCUGUCUUCUUGCAAAGCUGGUGAACGUGAGGGCUUUAAAGUUUUCUGCAGAGGUGGAAUUAGACGGGACAAGGGCUUUGUCUAUGCGUUUUUGGUGCAUGGCAUUCAGUGAAGAUUUAUAUGGCUGGAGAAAACUGGCAUCUGUGCUCCUUUUGGCUAUUUGAGUGCGUUUUGUGCCCCAGUGAGGGGAGCUCGUGAGGCGAAAAGCUGGAGGGACUGUUCCGGGAGUCAGUGCUCCCCUGGGAGCCAGAUGCCCACGAGCACGGACUUGACUCCACCCACUUCCAGCUGGAACCUCGAGCCGCUCUGCCGACUCAAGGCUGCCCUCUUCUGGAGGGUCUGGAGACAAGCCCCAUGUGGGGCUGUGUGGCUGUAGGGAGUUUCUCAGGCAGGGUCAGCAUCCAGGAGAAUCUGCGCAGGAAAGCUGGACAGCAUGCCUGUUACCUUCACUGACAGGCUAAACGGACAGGCUGUGAGCACGUGUGAGGCCCCGGGGGGUCCUCCAGAGGUGCAUGAGGAUUCCACAUCAGCUGGUGUCCCUGGGACAGAAAAGUCAAUGUGCUAAUUUUAAUGUAAACUAAUUGGAAUAACUUACUCCACUGUGCGCUCCAGGGACGUUUGUGACACCUGGACGCCAUAGAUACGGACGUUACAAAGUAAAAUUUUAUUUUUAUUUAUUAUUGGCAUUUCCCAUUAUCAUUGUCUGUUUUCCAAAUGCAUGGUUUUUGCUGGUUACAUACUGUGCAGUUGUAUGGGUGUAUAAUUCUCUUAAUCUUGGUUAUUAGAUUUGAUUUUUAUUUCACUGUUUCCAGUUAUAUAUUUUAUGAUAGUCAUAUAUUUUGAUUUAAAGUGCUUUUCUGUAUACAUCUAUGUUAUUUAACUCUUAAUAUCAUCCUACCAAAUACAGACAUUUUUUCCCCUCUGGCAAAACUGUCCAGACUUCCUGACGUCUCACAGACUGGAUGGCAGCGUUGACACCUGACCUGUCUGUGGGCUCUGACUCAGGGGACUGCCUACUUCCCUGACCACAUGCCUUCUCGUAGGGGGAUGAACUAAAAGUGCAUCAUUAUAAACGUAAGGAAACCACGAUGGACAUCUUCAAGCUCAGACAAAUGAGGGGUCUAAAGCUACAGGAGAGAUCCGGUGAGCCCUGCCUUCAGGUUGGAGAGGCAACCCUAACCAGAGAAGGCAGCGUGUCAGGAGGUUCAGCAAAGACACCCUUUAAGACUAGUGGGAGUUGGAGUCGCUGCGAUCGGUCAGGCAGGGCGGAUGUGCUCUUGCAGGUGUUUGAACUGACCCUGAGUAUCAAGAUUCUCAAAUUCAAAAUCCUCUCAAACUCAAGUAUUUAGUCCCACAGGUAUGCAGGCAGACUGCAUGUCCUCUAAGCAGCAUCCUGAAUCCCUGCUUAGAAAUGGAACCCGGACUUGACGUCCAGCCUUCCUGAUAGCCUAGUCCUUCCACCAAGAAUGUAACCACCUCCUGAGGGAAUAAGGCUGGAUUCUCAGCCUCCCCCUUCCCAGUCCUGACCCCUCAGGCCUUAGGGUGCGGAAGGCCUGCCGGCACCGGGCAGCGUGCCUGUGGACCAGAAUGGCUGCCUGACUCACAGAAUCACCAUUACACCCCUUCCCUCGCUGUGUUCUGCCUGCUGGCUCGCCUGUCUACAGGGUAACGCUCUCUAGGACCAGGUGUGCGCUUGGCCAGUUCUUUGAAUGCUGUGAACUACUGCAUCGCGAACUUGAGUGUACAGGCAAAUCCAGUGGGCAUUAUGUUUGUUAAAAUGCAGAUGUAAUUCUGUCCGGCCUGCGGGGGGGCGGGGGCAGGGGAUGAGAUUGCUGCGUGUCUGACAUGCACUCGGUUAACAACUGUGCUGCUUGUCCAUGGACCAGACCAGUAACGGUAGCACGUUAGACGGUCCGAUUGUCCUCUGCAGCCGAACACCUAGCACCCACCUCAGAUGCCUCCGCCCUCCCAACCUCUUGGAGAUGUGGAGCUCAGUACCCGGCCUCACGGCAGCGACAGAACCGAGAUUCGACAUACAAGUGAUAUCAUAUGGUACCUUUCUUUCUCUUUCUGGCUUACUUCACCUAGAAUGAUGAUCUCUAGGUCCCUCCAUGUUGCGGCAAGUGGCUUUAUUCUUUUUACGGGAGGUGUAUAGUGUCUUGUCUUAUGUUUAAGUCUUUCCUGGCUAAUAGUAUUUGCGUUCCUCUCCUACCUGAUGGCCACCCUUCAUCUCUGAGCAGGUAACGCUGCAUCCAGGAGUCCCCACCCCCCUUUAGAAGCACCGCAGCAUUGCCGAGAGGCCGCAGAGGGUGGGUGAAGCGUCCACCUUGGACUCCUGUGCAUCCUGGCCGGGGCUGAGCUCUGGGGCCUCAUUACACUUGGACAGUAGGUGUAACUCACCAGCCCCCAUCAAAUGGAAGAGGAAUCAAAAGCGAAUUGGUAGAAAAGGAGGCCUUUGCCAGGAGGAGCAAAAUCCUCUCCAGGGCUGGCCCCAGCUUCCCACCCGUUCCCAGGGCGUCUGCAAGUACCUGUUGCCAUGGAUACAAUCAUUGUUCCUGAUGGGAAACUAUAAAAAUGGCCCAAUCAUGCUGAGAGACUGUCACUGUCCAGCACCUAUAAAGUGUUUUAGGGGGUCCUGGUGGUCUCAGCAUGAUUGAGCCAGUGCUGCAGAAACCCAGAGGGAAAGGAGGGGAGCAGAGACGGACCCGCGCCUGCGUCAUGGCUCCGCUCUUCCGCUCUGCGUGACCUCGGCCUGGACAGUCACCCUGCUAAAGGGAUCACCAGUGUUGGAAAUGAUAAUUGUGAUGGAGUUUUACUAAAGCUGGAGCACAGAGAGUGAAGGUAUAAUAUGGUGUAAGUGAUCUAGAGCUUUAUCUCAGAAGGAAAUCAACAGAUAACAUCAGAGAUUUGCCCACCUGUACCAGUGCAAGCAUCACACUGGAAGGCAGGAAGAUAACUGCUGGAAAAAUUAAAAACAGAAAUGCCAAUAACUGUCGUCACUGGGACUUGGGACUAGGAGAGGGGAGGAAUAAGAGGACUAUUUCUUUUCAUUAUAAAAUCUGCUGGUUUUUAAUCAAGUGCAUCUAUUACUUAAAUUUUAAAAACUUUAAAAUGUGUGUGUUAAUCGACAACAGCCCCAAAGGGGUCAAUUUUUGAAACUGUAUUAAAUCUUAUUUAGUUGUUCCUUCAGUAUUCCACCAUUCAUUCAACAGUUGCCAUGUACUAAGUAUUUUAGGAGCUGAGAAUAUAGCAAAACAAGACAGGUGAGGUUCCUGCUCCUACAGGGCUUAUAUUCGAGACAAAGUAAGAAGACAGAGAGAGUGUGUGUGGUGAGAGAGAGGGAGGGAGAAAGAGAAAGGAAAUUUCUAAUGAUACAUGCUGUCAAAAAAACUAAGGUUGGCAUGAUGGGGGUUUUAUUUUGGAUUUGGCGGUCAGAGAAGAACGCACUAAGGAAGGACAUGGCUUCGGUGUUGAAAUUUAAAUUAGAAGAACCAGCCAGUGAAAUGAAGAACAAGGAACGGAACCCCAUGGGAAUAUGUGUAGUUUCUUAAUUGAAGAUGAAUAUUGCCAUGUACUUUCUUACCACGUGCUAUGUUUUUGUUUAAUGAUCACUAAAGAAAAUAUGUUGUUUAUCCCAUAGUAAAUCCUAAUAUACAUAAAUGUAUCUCUUUACAUUAAGGUAGAUGUUUAUAUUCUUAAAUGAUAAAAGAAAUCAAUAAAUAAAAUGAUAGAAUAUGACAUUGAAGAAAGCCUACCUUUACAAAACAUACACACAUACAGCCACACAUUAUAAUACAGCCUUAUGGUCAAACUUAAAAUGUGGCAAACAAUUAUGUUAAUGGUUAUUGAUGUGUUAAUGAGAUAUAAAAUAUUUAAGUCUUAUGAAAAUUUGCCUAUGAUAUAAAUAUUCCCCCAAUGCUUUGAAUUCCAGAAUAUCUUUCUCUGAAAAGAUACCUGCUUUACUAUCAGCUUGCCAAGAAACUGCAAGACAGUUUGGCAAGUUACCUAAAGUAAGGGCAGAUAUCAAUAUUUAAUUUUGAUCAUUUAAAAAAUGAUCAGAAAUAAAUUUUAUCUGAGUGUAUAAUGAAUGUGAAACAUUUUAAUUGUUCUUUUCCUUUUUCAUAUUAUAUUAUUUUGGAUUUGGAUGACUUACUUGUUAGUUUUUACACUCAGAUGUAGAUUAUUGUGGUUAUCAACUCCUCGGUUCAAGGCACGCCAUGGUCAUGAGUUCACGUGUCUUCUCUCUCGUUUUAUGCAUGUAUGCAUGUAUAUCUGCAUGAGUACAUAUAUGUACAUGCAUGUGGGAAUGCACCAAAGUGUGUAUAAAUGUAUUCCCUUUUAUCCCAUUUGCCAGGUCCAUUCUUGUGCCUUCUGUAGGCAACCAUUAUAAUAUAUUUGAUGUGUAUUAUUUCUAUGUAUUAUUGUGAAAUUUGCAUUGAACUUUUAAGUCAAGCUACUUUAAUUCAUGUGAAUAUAAUUGUGCUGGAGAGCUUAUUGUUUUUCUUACUUAACUCAAGAAUAUAUUCGAAUAUUUAUGUUGUAUAUUUAGUCCAUUGCUCAUAAAACCUACCCAAGUACUCCACAAUGUGCAUCCACUAAGAUUUACUUUUCUCUGUUCACCAGUGAUGGCUAACAAGAUUGCCUCCAACUUCUCCCUAUCACAAAUAACCCUGACAAUCAUCCCUUUCAAUGGUGUGAGACUAUCUCAAGGAUGUAGAUUCAGGAAUGGAAAGCUAGAUCAUAUAUAUAUAUAUAUAUAUAUAUAUAUAUAUAUAAUAAAUAAAUAAACAAACAAACAAAUAAAUAAAUACAUAAAUAAAAUAUCCCUUUGGACCAUCAGAGUUUGGCAUUAUAAGCGUUUCUUUUUUUUCAAUCUGACAGGUGCAAACUUAUAUCUUACUGUUUUAAUUUGCAUUUCUCUAAUUACUAAGUUUAAAUAUCAUAUGCUUGUUCACCUUUUGGGGCUCAGAUUUUAUGAACUGCCUAUUGAUAGCAUUUGUUUAUUUUGGGGGCAGAGGUUCUUGGGGUUUUUUUUUUUUGCUGAUUUCUAGGAAUUUCUUCUAUGUCCUAAAUAUUAUUCCCUGUUUGUUUUAUAGAUGAUAAUUUUCUAAUCUCUCAUUUCUUUUGCCCACUGUAUCAUUUAUUGAAAAGAAAUUCCUAACUAUUAUUAUUUGUAACCUCAGUCAUUUUGAUUUGUACUUUUAGGGUUCUAUUUAGGACUCCUAUGUUGAAAGAUACUCUUCUGUAGAAGACAACUAGGUCUUUAAUCUAUAUGGAGUCCCUGUUUCUGUGUUGUGUAUUUAGGACACAGUUUUAUUUUUCUCUAUGCAGGGAGCCCAUAUUCCUAGCAAUUUUUACUCAAAAUUAUUUCUUCUUCUACUGAUUCAGACGCUAUGUUUUUUGUAUAGUAGAUUCACAUAUACUUUUGUGGAAUCCAUUAUGUUCCAUAGGAAUAUAUGUCUGUUUUUCCCUGAGUAUACAGUUUCAUAUUACUGUGGCUUUGUAAUGUUAGUUUUCUUCCAUAUAAAUGUUAGCAUGAGUUUACAAAAUGCUGAAAAAGAUCCAGAUGUGGUUUUUGGGGGGGUUACAUUUAAUUUUAGAUUAAUUUGAGGAGAUCUAAAAUCUUAUUUAUUAAAUGGUUCCCAUCCCAGAACAUGUAAUUUCAGUGUAUUCAGAUAUUUUUAAUCCAUUAAUAGAAUUUUAAAAUUUCAUCAGAGAGACCUUGAGUGAUUUUUAUUAAAUACAUCCUUAGAUGUGUUAUGGUUUUUGUUACCAUUGUAAAAGUAUAUAUUUAUCUAGACAGUUAUGAUUAUAGAAAAAUAAUACUAAUUUUUAUAAGCUGAUUUUGUACCCAGUAAACUUGCCUAGUAUUCUGUGAGUUCUAAUAAUGCUUAUUAUUUCCAUGAGAUAGAAAUAAUAAGUUUUUGAGAUAAUUAGAAAUAAUUUAUAACUUAUAAAUAAUGAUAGUUUUUUCUCUUUUGUUCUCAUCCUUAACAUCUUUCUUUUUUCCCCUUU